rnacentral:lncRNA from 1 species
UCCUUGUGAAGAGAGAUGAGCUCACCCUUGAGGGUAUCAAGCAGUUCUAUGUGAAUGUGGAGAAGGAAGACUGGAAGCUGGACACACUAUGUGACCUGUACGAGACCCUUGCCAUCACCCAGAGUGUCAUCUUUGUCAACACCCGCCGCAAGGUGGACUGGCUCACUGACAAGAUGAGGAGCAGGGACCACACUGUUUCUGCCACUCACGGUGACAUGGAUCAGAACACUAGGGACAUCAUCAUGAGGGAGUUCAGGUCUGGUUCAUCCCGUGUGCUCAUCACCACCGACCUGCUUGCCCGUGGUAUCGAUGUUCAGCAGGUGUCCUUGGUCAUCAACUACGAUCUCCCCACCCAGCCUGAGAACUACCUGCAUCGCAUUGGUCGUAGUGGUCGUUUCGGUAGGAAGGGUGUUGCCAUCAACUUUGUGACCCGUGAUGAUGAGAGGAUGCUGUUUGACAUACAGAGGUUCUACAACGUGGUGAUUGAGGAGCUGCCUGCCAACGUCGCUGACCUUCUGUGAUCAAGUUGAAGAAAAAACAAAACAGAACAAAAAAAAAGUGGUAAGGGGACCUGAUAAGGCUUGUUUUUGUUGAAAUAUCGCCAUAUGUGGGGUGGAGUGACAAGGUC